CUCUGUUGCCCAGUCUGGAUCUCCGCUCACUACAACCUUCGCCUCUCAGGCUCAAGCGAGUCUCAAGCCUCAGCCUCCGGAGUAGCUGGGAUUACAGGCGCAGGCCACCACGCCCGGAACCUAAGAAUCUUGAAAGGAAAGAGAAAGAACUAACAUUUUCGUGACUGAGAACUGGAUGAUGACAAAUGAGAAAAUAAACACAAUAAAGGCAAGUUUGCGGGGGGUGAUAGAGCAGAGCGAGUUGUGAUCCCCGCUCCGUCACCACGUUCGUUUCGUUCCUCUGGACUACUGGGUUAAUGAUACCGGCAAUCAGCGCAAAGCGAGAUAAUCACCAGCGCACUCUUGGAUCUGUAUACAGGUUUGUAAACUAUGUGGAGGAAACCGACCCAUCGCAGUCUCAGCCGAAGAGGCCGGAGCCGGAGCCGGAGCCGGAGCCGGAGCCAGAGCCUGAGCAGGGUCUGAAAAAAGGACCGGCCGUUCAGGACUAGGCCCUGAACUACAACUUGCUCCUCAGGGGUCCGGGUCGGAAGUGACGACUUCAUUCACUGAGCAGCCAUUUCAGGUUCCCAGUGUGUCCGAAGUUCCUUCUGGGUGUCAGAAAAGACACAAAAACUGACGGGGCGGAACCGCGACACGGUGCCUGCUGAUAUCAAAAGGUCUCACGGCUCCGGAGGGACCCAGUGGCCCACAGCCGCCAGGGGCGCCGCCGGCUCCGAGCCCGUUGUCGAGAGCCGCUGGGCUGCUCGGGUCUGCCCUUCAGUCCUUCCAACUCUCCUCGGACCUAGAGUUCCGGGAUCUCACUGCGAUCUGGGCGGAUUCUUAUGUAGAAUUCGAAAGGAUAUGGGGAAGGAAAAAAACAAAAAGAGGAACCACUUUGUUUCCGCCCGGUUUCGAACCGGGGACCUUUCGCGUGUGAGGCGAACGUGAUAACCACUACACUACGGAAACCAGGCGGUGACAGGUUGUCCACAAAUGACUCUUAAAAGUCAGAGGCUCACCACUGUGUCCCUGAUCCACGAGAAAAGUACCCGGGCGGGCCACCCACAGCUUCGGGAUCGGGGCGCGCAGGGAAGUAGCCAGCAAAGCAGGUAAGUCCCGGGCUGCUCGCGGGGGGGUUCAUGACUGAGGGCACAGGGGUGAACUCGAUGGUGCUUCCUCAGGAAACUUCCGGCGCAGUCAGGGCUGCAGCCAGAGCCCCGAGAUAGUUGGGCAGGGCUCCAGGCGUCCCCGAAUGCUUGUCGUGGAGCUUUCCUGAUCCUGUCGGGUCCCUAAGGAGCGUUUGGCGGGGAGCGUGGACGCCCUGGGGCCAGGCCACCGCGGUCACUGAGAGCCACCCCCCCGGAAACUGGAGAAAAACGGAGUAGAAGAGACCUAGGGGACAGACUUGGCCGGGUCAAGGGAAACCAGCUCAUAUUUGGAACAAAAUACGCCUUAUGUUUGCCCAGCACUGAAUUUAGAAGCAUUUUCACAUUCUCGAGUUUAACUAGUUUUACAACACUGCCACGAGCAAAGUAUUAAACGUGUUUUAAAGAUAAAGAGACUGAAGCUAGGUAAAUUGGACUUGGGUAAGAUGGAAGCGCUACUUAACGUUAAGGAGAGUCUGCGACCCUGAUGUUCUCAGGCUGUAUCUCGCUUAGUGGGACUACACCUUAUUAUUGUCCGAGGAAACAAAUGAAAAGGAAAGAGACCGUGGAGAGUAUUCCUGGAGGGACUCAAGAUACCGCUGUAGGUAGAACCCCAAGAUAGCUGUGUAGAGUGACAGCUGAUGUCGAAUGACUUCAUCUUUUCCACUGCUGCGGGUGAAAUUAUCUGAGGAGGUAGGAAGAGGAGAUGGUUUAGGGAUGCCAUAUGACAAAGGCUUUGGAAAAUUAAGAAGAGGCCGGACGCGGUGGCUCACGCCUGUAAUCCCAGCACUUUGGGAGUCCGAGGCGGGCGGAUCUCACCUAGGAUCAGGAGUUCCAGACCAGCCUGGCUAACAUGGUGAAACGCCAUUUCUACUAAAAAUACAAAAAUUAUCUGGGCGUGGUGGCGCGCGCCUGUAAUCCCAGCUACUCGGGAGGCUGAGGCAGGAGAAUAGCUUGAACCCGGGAGGCUCAGGUUGCAGUGAGCCGAGAUCGCGCCAUUACACUCCAGACUGGAUGAAAGAGCAAAACUUCGUCAAAAAAAAAAAAAAAAAAAAAAAAAAGAAGAAGAAAAUUAAGAAGAGAAGGAUGAGAGAAUUACCAAGGCAGCAGUGAAGACUUACGUGGUGUUGUAUGAUACAAAUGUCCAGGGGCUAGCAUGGAACAAUGUUGGCUGACUGCGCCAGGAGCUCUAAUCUGGCAAGAAUCUAGAGGAGAAGGUGGAUUGUGGGAUGAAUAAGCAAAGGAGGAGGGUUAAGGAGUUGGGGGUGGUAGUGAGAGAGCAGAAGAGAAGCACCUGGUUACAGGUUGAGGCUGUGCAGAAUGUAGAAAGACAUCAGAGAUGUUCAAUGGUGCUCACUUCGGCAGCACAUAUGCUAACAUUGGAAUAAUACAGAGAAAAUUAACAUGGCCCCUGUGCAAGGCUGAUGUACAAAUUCAUGAACUGUUCCUUUUUUUUUUUUUUUUAAAGAAAUGUCCAAUGGACUGAAUGCUAGACAGAUAAUAGUUUAUCAGGUUAAGGAACUUUAUCAAAAAAUUGGCUUAAAUAAUAAAGGGAAAAUAUUGCCUCACAAUCCUAGGUAGAUCUGGGCUUCAGGUAAGUCUUCACACAAGGCUCAAAGAAGUCUCUGGGCCAGGCGCGGUGGCUCACGCCUGUAAUCCCAGCACUUUGGGAGAUAGAGGCAGGCAGAUCACCUGAGGUCAAAAAUCCAAGACCAGCCUGGUAUUACUAAAAAUACAAAAUAAUUAGCCGUGCAUAGUGGUGCGCACCUGUAGUCCCAGCUACGUGGGAGGCUGAGGCAUGAGAAUUGCUUGAACCCAGGCGGUGGAGGCUGCAGUGAGCCGAGAUUGCACCACUGCACUCCAGCCCGAGCAACAGAGUGAGACUCCAUCUCAAUUAAUAAUAAUAAUAAAGAAGUAUCUGGUUUC